UAAACGCUGGCGGCGCACAUAAGACAUGCAAGUCGAACGGACAGAAGUUCAUUCUUUACGAUUGAAUGGAUGUUAGUGGCGGACUGGUGAGUAACACGUAAGCAACCUGCCUAUCAGAGGGGAAUAACAGUGAGAAAUCAUUGCUAAUACCGCAUAUGCUAACAGUAUCGCAUGAUACAGUUAGGAAAGGAGCAAUCCGCUGAUAGAUGGGCUUGCGUCUGAUUAGCUAGUUGGUGGGGUAACGGCCUACCAAGGCGACGAUCAGUAGCCGAGCUGAGAGGCUCAACGGCCACAUUGGGACUGAGAUACGGCCCAGACUCCUACGGGAGGCAGCAGUCGGGAAUAUUGCGCAAUGGAGGAAACUCUGACGCAGUGACGCCGCGUAUAGGAAGAAGGUUUUCGGAUUGUAAACUAUUGUCAUUAGGGAAGAACAAAGACAGUACCUAAGGAGGAAGCCCCGGCUAACUAUGUG
rnacentral:rRNA from 1 species